rnacentral:rRNA from 1 species
CUACGGGAGGCACCAGGCGAGAAAACUUUGCAAUGUGCGAAAGCACGACAAGGUUAAUCCGAGUGGUUUGUGCUAAACGAACCUUUUGACAGUCCUAGAAAUACUGUUGAAUAAGGGGUGGGCAAGUUCUGGUGUCAGCCGCCGCGGUAAAACCAGCACCUCAAGUGGUCAGGAUGAUUAUUGGGCCUAAAGCAUCCGUAGCCGGCUCUGUAAGUUUUCGGUUAAAUCUGUACGCUCAACGUACAGGCUGCCGGGAAUACUGCAGAGCUAGGGAGUGGGAGAGGUAGACGGUACUCGGUAGGAAGGGGUAAAAUCCUUUGAUCUAUUGAUGACCACCUGUGGCGAGGGCGGUCCACCAGAACACGUCCGACGGUGAGGGAUGAAAGCUGGGGGAGCAAACCGGAUUAGAUACCCUAGUAGUC